CCUACGGGAGGCUGCAGUGAGGAAUAUUGGUCAAUGGACGAGAGUCUGAACCAGCCAAGUAGCGUGAAGGAUGACUGCCCUAUGGGUUGUAAACUUCUUUUAUAUGGGAAUAAAAUGUUCCACGUGUGGGAUUUUGUAUGUACCAUAUGAAUAAGGAUCGGCUAACUCCGUGCCAGCAGCCGCGGUAAUACGGAGGAUCCGAGCGUUAUCCGGAUUUAUUGGGUUUAACGGGAGCGUAGGUGGAUUGUUAAGUCAGUUGUGAAAGUUUGCGGCUCAACCGUAAAAUUGCAGUUGAAACUGGCAGUCUUGAGUACAGUAGAGGUGGGCGGAAGUCGUGGUGUAGCGGUGAAAUGCUUAGAUAUCACGAAGAACUCCGAUUGCGAAGGCAGUUCACUGGACUGCAACUGACACUGAGGCUCGAAAGUGUGGGUAUCAAACAGGAUUAGAUACCCUUGUAGUC
rnacentral:rRNA from 1 species